AGGCAGCGGUGUGGACCAAGGUUAUGAGGAGGAAUCUGAGGACUACAGCCCCGAAGCAAAUCCGGAACAAAGCAUCCUUUCCGAUGAUGAGUCCAGCUUUGAUGAAGCAGCUGACAGCAGCACACAACAAACAACAGUGGCAGAAGACAGUGGUCCAAGAAACUUUCAACAGACGAGGACAUCAAGGAAGAGACCACGAGGGAACUCUGGUUAUGCAGACUUGGGCCACCGAACAGCAAUCCUUCUACCAGAAGAUGCAAGAGUCCCAGAACAAAUGGAUAGAAGAACA